AUGGGCAAGAAAGAGGCGCUUCCGGACCAGGUCGGGCAGAGGUAUCCAGAAGAUGCAUCCGAUAUAAAGGACAUGUCCAAAUUCAAACCUCACAUUCUGCUGUCCCAAGAGAAUACACAGAUUAGAGACUUGCAGCAGGAAAACAGAGAGCUAUGGGUUUCCUUGGAGGAACACCAGGAUGCUUUGGAACUCAUCAUGAGCAAGUACCGGAAGCAGAUGUUACAAUUAAUGGUUGCUAAAAAGGCCGUGGAUGCUGAACCAGUCCUGAAAGCUCACCAGUCUCACCCUGCAGAAAUUGAGAGUCAGAUUGACAGAAUCUGUGAAAUGGGAGAAGUGAUGAGGAAAGCAGUUCAGGUGGAUGAUGACCAAUUUUGUAAAAUUCAGGAAAAACUAGCCCAAUUAGAGCUUGAAAAUAAGGAACUUCGAGAAUUAUUGUCCAUCAGCAGUGAGUCUCUUCAGGUCAGGAAGGAAAACUCAAUGGCCACUGCUUCCCAAGCCAUCAAAUAACUCAACUUCUGAAUGACGGUGGGAGAUUGUUUAUCAAGAAAGGAAGUUAUUAUCUUUCGAGUAUUGUCCAUUUAGUGUUUUGCCUCAGACUUGAUUUAGUGUUGAUUAAAGGUAUCAGGCGGCAGUUUAAAAAAAUAUAUAUAUAUCACAAGAGUUGAUAGCUGAAUUAUUUGAGGGUGUCUUUUCCAGCCAAGUUA